rnacentral:misc_RNA from 1 species
GAUGAAGAACGUAGCGAAAUGCGAUAAGUAAUGUGAAUUGCAGAAUUCAGUGAAUCAUCGAAUCUUUGGACGCACAUUGCGCCCCCUGGUAUUCCGGGGGGCAUGCCUGUCCGAGCGUCAUUACAACCCUCAAGCUCAGCUUGGUGUUGGGCCCCGCCGCCCCGGCGGGCCCUAAAGUCAGUGGCGGUGCCGUCCGGCUCCGAGCGUAGUAAUUCUUCUCGCUCUGGAGGUCCGGUCGUGUGCUCGCCAGCAACCCCCAAUUUUUUUCAGGUUGACCUCGGAUCAGGUAGGGAUACCCGCUGAACUUAAGCAUAUCAAUAAGCGGAGGA